rnacentral:lncRNA from 1 species
GCCCGCGCCGCCUGCCCGCAGUCCGGGCUGCAGCCCCGCAGCUUUGUGAGCACCCCCGGGCUCCCCUCCCCUCCCCCAUCCGCCCCGGCGCGAGCCUCUGCCGCAGCAGCUCCGUUUUCACGCGCAUCUCCCUCCCUCCCUCCCUCCCUCCCUCUCUCUCUCUCUCUCUCUCCUUUUCUUUUCUCUUGCAGAGAAUUGGAAGCUAAAGCUACCAAAGACGUAGAAAGGACUCUUAGCAGGGAUUUAGUGCAAGAAGAAGAACAGUUGAUGGAAGAAAAGAAAAAGAAAAAAGACGACAAGAAAAAGAAGGAAGCUGCUCAAAAGAAGGUAGUAUAUAUGUAUAAACUAUCUAUUAAGCAGUCUAAACAGAUUUAAAAAGAAAACUACUCUUAUUGGAUCUUUUAAAGCAUUUGAUUGUAUGUUUUAACUUUAGUGGAGAUUCAUUUUAAUAUUUAAUGUUUCUGAUUAUGCAUAUGUAGUAACUUGCCAAGUGUGUACAAUUUAAUGCAUAGUUAUUUAAUCUUGCCGAUAGUUUUUUCAAAGGUAAGUGCUUUAUAUAAGUAAUGAGCUGUUCCUAGGUUCUCAUAUACAUCUCUCUCUACUUGAGAAGAACAUGGAAUUUGUAGCUGCAUAGAGAGCUGCAUUGAAAUCUGGCUCUCCCACAUAGUGUACUACAUGGUGUGUCCUUAAACUUUAUUUAGCCUCUCUGGGCCUUAGUUUCCUUAUGUUUUGUAAAAUGAGAAUUUAAACGAGAUAAUACACAAUGCACAUAGUAGGAAAUAAGGUGUCAGUUUCCUUUUCACUUUUUGUUUAGUACCUGGGCUGAUUUCAAGAAUUUGCUACUUACGUUAAGAUAUUUGAAAAUAAGCCUGAGGUGUAAUUUGCUACAGAGGGUCUCUAGAAGGUACAUAGUCAGAAGCUGUAAUCAGAACAAUACAAACUGUGGAAAGAGAAAAGAUUAUGUUCUUAAUUAUAAAGUUUUUGUUUGUUUUUACAAAUUCUGAAUCCUGAUUACAGCUGGGCACUCAUCUCCUACUGUAUCAAGGUUUCAAGGACCUUAAAAAUUUUUUUAAAGACCCAGUGAAAUUACUAUUAUACUCUUACAUUCCAUUAACAGCUCUGACUUUAAUUUCUAACCUUUUGUGCCAGGCACUGUGUUAUAGCUGCACACUUACCUCCACAUUAUUUAAUAGGGAAAAAUAGCAUCCAAAUCUGUGGUAGGUAGGGAGCUGUUGAAGCACAGAGAACUGCUUUCACUCCACCUGGAAUGGGGCCGAUGGAAGGGAAAAUUGUCUUAGAGUAGAAGUUAGCCAAGUGAACCAGGAGUGGAAUAAAACGGGAUUGCAAGCUGAGUCA